AACAGGCAAUUGAACAUGCUAUAUGCUGUUAUCAUUUAUAUCUUGGCAUAUUUGCAUUUGCAUUUGCAAUUGCAAAUUAUGGAAAACAUACCUGAGAUGUAUGGAUUACAUAUUAUAUUAAUAUAAAUGAAAUCAAAUGUGAUAGAACUAUGUUCUAGGGAUAAAUGAAGAGAUCACUUUUGGAUAAUAUUUGAUUAUAGCAUCUUCGGUGGAUUAAUAUGGAUUAUAGGGCUUUAUUCCUUUUUUGGAUAGCUGGAAUUCUGACGCUUAUAACAUUAACAGAUUCUCAAUCUGUGCAAAAAGAUCCUAAGAAGAAUGACCCAGAGAAGCGUUUAUUCAACAAGCUUUUCAAGAGUUACAGGACAUCAGUUAGACCAAUUUUUCAGAAGUCUCAACCAGUAAAAGUUGAAGUUAACAUAGACCUUCAUCAAAUAGUAGAACUGAGUGAGAAGAGUCAGUUUCUACAUAUGAGUUUGUGGGUUAGAAUGAGUUGGAUAGACGAGCACCUGACCUGGGACCAAGAUAAGUUUGAAGGCCUUGCAGAAAUACAGGUGCCAUCUAGAGACAUAUGGAAACCAGAUAUAACCAUAGUAAACAAUGUGGAUGACUCUAAAUCUGCAAUGAAAUUGUUCUCAGACACUCCUGCCAAAGUCUACCCCAAUGGUACUGUAUACUGGUUGACAUCAUCGCUGUGUAAGAUCUCCUGUAAAAUAAAUGUAGAAAACUUCCCAUUUGACGAGCAGCACUGUACCAUUGUUUUGUCGCCUUGGACAAGUGAUAUUCGAUUCAUCAAUUUAACAUAUGGGGAGCCUGAAGGUAAUUCAGGUCCAUUUGUAAUCCAUGGUGUUUGGGAUCUACAGGGGAUUCCAGUUGAGCGUGAGGAGGUUCUUUAUCCUUGUUGUCCCGAUCCUUAUGUUGAAGUAAGGUAUACAGUGGUUGUUAGGAGACAGCCCAACUUCUACCUAUAUAACCAACUCUUCCCCUGUAUUCCCCUUAUGUUGAUAUCAGUCCUUGUGUUCUGUCUGCCAACAGAGUCAGGAGAGAGAGCCUCCUUAGCUGUGACAUUGCUCCUGGCGAUGACUGUAUUCCUGAACUUCAUAUCUGAGAACAUGCCACCCACUUCUGAGGUGGUACCUCUGUUAGCUCAAUUCUUUGGUGCUGCCAUAGUUCUGCUGUCUGUGUGUACAUCUGUGACAGUUCUAAUCUUAAACAUCCACUACCAGGGUGAGCAUGGCAAACCUACCCCUAAGUGGCUGAAAGUAAUCUUCCUUGACUACAUAGGACAUUAUCUCCAUAUCAAGAGAAAACCCAAGGACAGAGUGAAUGAGUCAAAAGAUGGCACUGACGGUGUUGAAAAAAAUGGAACAUUUCAUGCAAGCAGUUUAAACACAGUAUAUGACAAUAGAAACGGUGACAUGGAUAUGUUAGUUUCACAGGAUUCUCUGGGACAUCAAAUGCAGAAUAUCAACUGUGUUCUAGCUUUACUUCAUGAGGAGAUCACAACAAGGAAUAGGGAGAAAUCACGAGCAGAAGACAUUAAGGAAGAAUGGCAGCUCAUUGCUAUGACAUUUGACAGAAUGUUGUUUAUUGUUUUUAUUAUUUGUAAUGUAUUGGUUAAUGUAUCUAUAUUCACUAAAGUUGCAUUUGUAUAUGUAGACCACUAAUAAACAUUAAUUUACCGAGUAUUUCCUAAGCGCCGGAACGUUUGACUAUUAACGAGAGUUCAACUUCAUAUACAAUAAUUCUCUAAUCUUGCCUAUAUAUUUAAUUGGAAUAUGGACAAUAAAAACACAAAAUAAAUUUUCUGCCUAUGAAGUUAAAAUUUGUUUCACUUCCAAACUUGUAAAAAUGAACAGGAUUCCUCUACUCUUCUAUGUUCCUGCGCCUGUGAUCACAACUACAAAAUCAGUUGUAAAUAUCAGAGGGUAGUGUGACUUGGCAAUAUGCGUUUUGGGUACAUUGUGACCAUUACAUUUUGAGGUGACUAUUGAUUCCACAAUGGAGCUGGUUAAUAUUUUUUUGAAUAAUGUCAAAAUAAUGAAUCGGAGGCGAAAAUAUUAACCUAGGUGUUCAAGUAGGUUAGACUUAAUCUAUAAUUUCUUUACAAUUUGAUUGCCAAGAUCAUAUCACUCCACUAACAAUGUAAAACUCAACCUGUGGGCUUGUUUUA
rnacentral:misc_RNA from 1 species